rnacentral:rRNA from 1 species
AUUGAACGCUGGCGGCAUGCCUUACACAUGCAAGUCGAACGGCAGCACGGGUGCUUGCACCUGGUGGCGAGUGGCGAACGGGUGAGUAAUACAUCGGAACAUGUCCUGUAGUGGGGGAUAGCCCGGCGAAAGCCGGAUUAAUACCGCAUACGAUCCAUGGAUGAAAGCGGGGGACCUUCGGGCCUCGCGCUAUAGGGUUGGCCGAUGGCUGAUUAGCUAGUUGGUGGGGUAAAGGCCUACCAAGGCGACGAUCAGUAGCUGGUCUGAGAGGACGACCAGCCACACUGGGACUGAGACACGGCCCAGACUCCUACGGGAGGCAGCAGUGGGGAAUUUUGGACAAUGGGCGAAAGCCUGAUCCAGCAAUGCCGCGUGUGUGAAGAAGGCCUUCGGGUUGUAAAGCACUUUUGUCCGGAAAGAAAKMCUUGGCUCUAAUACAGUCGGGGGAUGAC